rnacentral:lncRNA from 1 species
CAUCUGGUCCUAGGCUGCUUCCUCCUUCCUGGGAAAAGGCCCCAGGCUUCCCUGGCAGGGACAGAAUAGGGUUCCGGUGAGUCAGGGCAACGGGAAGCCACAGCUCUUAGAUCCCUGGAAGCCAAGCAAGACCUGGAAUGGAGAGCUGAGCGGAGGCCCUCAGGACUUUGGCCCUAAGCCUGGGGGAGGGCCAGAGGGGGGUGGGGUGGGGGAGCAGCUGUGUGGGCAGGGGCCAAGAUGAAUGAGCUACUCCUGGAGCGGUCACUGGAAAUAGGAGGAGUGGCCACAGGCAGUGACGCUGGGACCAGGGCAGGAGGCCUGUAAACAAGGAAGCCACCUGGGGGAGACGCAGGGCGGUCACUGGUCCUGGGGAGCAGGUGCUUCCUGAGGCCCGCCCUGGAGAGGGCCCUGGGGGCCGCCCCGCCGAGUCUGCAGCAGGCGCUAGGAGGCGCCGUCUACCGGCUUCCAGAGCCCACCGCUCCUUACCCUGGCUCCCGGGGGUGUGGCCGCCGGAGGGUGUGCCGGCCCAGCGUCCCAGGCCCUGCUGGCCCGGCCUCUCCCUCCCUUCUGUCACCGCAGCCGACUGGCCAAGGGCACCAGCCCUGGAGAGGGCUCAGGGCUCAGACUGGCCAGCUCGGGUAUGAGCUCAUUCCCCGGGACCACCAGUUCUAGUUCCUGCCCCUCCCCCAAAGGCUCGGGUCGCAGGCUGGGGCCUGGCACCCACCCCAAAGGUUGGGAGGGGGCUCCGAGGCCAUCAGGCUCCAGGCCUCCGUUGGCUCUGCCCCCUGGCGCCAGGGAAACAAAGGUUAGGGGCCCAGAGGGAGUUAUCUGGCCCCAUCCCCACCGGGUGGGGGAAGGGGGACAAGAGGGGGCGCAGUUCCCCUCCACUCUCCCAGCCGUACUGAUUCUUCGAGACACUUUCACAGGCGGAAAUUCCCAGAGGUCAGAGGAGGGAAACGGUUAAUUCCUUUUAUUCAAUGGGUCCCCCCUACACGCCUCCCCCCAACUUCCUCCCUCCACUUCCCGCCCCCCCUGUGUGAACAGGAAGUGGAGAGGAAAAGGCUCUGAGCGGAGCAGCUGGGAGCAGGAGGCAGGGAGUGGGCGGCGGGCUUGGUGCCAGCCCUGCCCCUCAUGCUUAGUUGCCGGAGGGCCAGGCCAGCCGCGGCCUGGGAAAGAACCUGCAGCCCCGCUGGCGAGUGACAGUUGAACCGGGAAACAGCAAUGUCCAUGCCCCCUUUCCUUAACCUGCUCCCAGGUUACAGGCUGCUGUCCUCAGGGUGCCAGACAUAUUCUGCUCAAGAGCCAGCUGCCCUGGCCACCGCAACCCCACCUCCACCACCAGGCUGGGCAUCCCGAGGCUGGCAGGCAUCUCUUCAGGCAGCCGCCAGUCCUGGCACUGGCUCCCUCACUCAGCCCCUUGGCCCUGCCAGCCCUUUGAAGCUCACGCAGUGCUUCCUGUUUGGGGCGGGCGAUGCCAGGGCCCCUCCCCCACCAUUGUUCUAGAGAGACCAUAGGUCCAUCUGUUGCCCCAUGGUGGGGCCCCUAGGCAGUGCCACACGGGAGCAGCACCACAAAGGACCCUGCUGGCAGCUUUGCUUAUGUGGGGUGAGACUGGGCCCUGUAGCAGGUUGAGGGUGAAUGGUGGUCAGAGGCAGGCCUGGGGCAGGCAGUGGGACAGGAUGCUAGAAAGUUCUGGUGUUGGGGCAGCUGGAGCCCUCAGCUUUUUCCUCCGCCUGGAGCAUGGAGAUGAUAUUCAGGGAGCCAUGCAUGCUGAAGCCACCAGGAGAGGCCACCAUUCUCAUGCCUGGAUUCCCAAAAGGAAAACUGAGGCAGAGGGGCAAACUUUGGUCUAGGAUGACCAAUAAAAGGGCCACAAAAUAAGGUUGUCAUUUCAAGGGGAUUGGCCCCUCUCCAGAUGCCUGGUAAUUGGGUGCUUUCCUCUCCCUGAGCAGCUUUACCGUGGCUCAGCUUUCACCUUGAACCAGCCCUUACUGAGCAGUCAGAAACCAUACUGUGAGGUCAGGAGAGGUUGCACGGCCUUAGUUUGGUGGCCAGCAACCCAUGUCCACUGAGAAUAAGCUUGGGCAGAGAAAAGGGAAAGGGGCACUGGUCUGGCCCCCAGGAAGGUGGCUGCUGCUUCUGGUUCCCAGGCUGCUGUGACCAAAGGUCUGUUUGUGUUUGCCAGGUGCAGAGGCAGGUGCCUGCAGCUCCCCUUCCCUCCAUGGCAUGAUCUCCCAGUUCUGACCCUUGACCUGCUCCCUACCGGCAUCCCCAUAGGGCUGGAAGGUGAACCCCACUUCCCUCACCAGGUCCUCUGGUUUCUCUUCCCAGGCCAGGACCUAAACUGUUCACAACUCCCAGCAGGCCAGAGCUGCAGAGACCUCAGAUAGAGACUGUAAAGUGCUGUGGAAGCCUUGUUCAAAUAAAAACGUUCGUGAAUGUCCAGUACUUGAAAUUGAUAUGCUGAGAUUCUCCAAUGGAAACUGGGCUGGAGGCACACACACCCCUGUUCACUGAGCCUGUUCUCCUCUCCUAGCUCAAUCUCUCUCUCUCUCUGUUUUUUUGUUUGUUUGUUUUUUGUUUUUUUGAGACGGAGUCUCGCUCUGUCGCCCAGGCUGGAGUGCAGUGGCUGGAUCGCGGCUCACUGCAAGAUCCGCCUCCUGGGUUCACGCCAUUCUCCUGCCUCAGCCUCCCGAGUAGCUGGGACUACAGGCGCCCGCCACCUCGCCCGGCUAGUUUUUUGUAUUUUUUAGUAGAGACGGGGUUUCACCGUGUUAGCCAGGAUGGUCUCGAUCUCCUGACCUCGUGAUCCACCCGUCUCGGCCUCCCAAAGUGCUGGGAUUACAGGCUUGAGCCACCGCGCCCGGCUUUUUUUUUUUAAAUAGAAACAACACCUUGCUGUAUUGCCUAGGCUGGUGUGCAGUGGCGCGAACAUAGCUCACUGCAGCCUUGAAUUCCUGGGCUCAAGUGAUCCUCCCGCCCCAGGCUCCUGAGUAGCAAGGACUAUAGACGCCACACCUGGCUAAUUUUUAUUUUUAUUUUUUGUAGUGACGGGGGUCUUGCUAGGUUGCCCAGGCUGGUCUUGAACUCCUGACUUCAAGCAGUCCUCCCACCUCAGCCUCCUAGAGUGUUGGGAUUACAGGCCUGAGCCACUGUGCCUGGCCCCCUAUCCCAAUAUCUAUAAGAUGCCAGGAUGCCCAGGAACCCAGUUUGACAGACACCGUGCUGCUGAUCCCACCUCCUGACUUUACAGCUGCUGAAUUGCAGAAGACAAAUUGGUAGCUAACAGGAGGCUCCAUCCUGGAUCCUGCCCCUGUCCAUGAGAUUCAGCCUUGAUUAACGGUGUUCCCAUGCUGGUUGUGAGCAGGGCAUCAUCCUAGGUCCUUCUUUAUACUCGUUUUCCAUCUCCAGCCAAAAUGGGUUGAACUGAGGAACAAGGACAUACUCUGUAGAAAGGCAAGUGCAAGUCUCUGCUCUGCCUCUACCAGCCAUCAGGCUAAUCAAGCCCUUAGAACCUCAAUUUCUUCUCCUGUAAAAUGGGAAUAACUGUUACAGACCUGGAAAGGCUCUUGCGAGGCUGAAAUGAGAGCGGUGCCGCCCAUCUGUCAAGGUAGCCCGGGGCCUGGCGCCCAAGCAGCCCCAGGCACUUGCCCUCUUCCUUUUUACUCUGUGCCUCCUUUCUGUAGGCGUGGGACCCUGAGACCUGUCCCAGCCCUUCCCUCACAAGGCCCUCUGACUUCUUCAGAUAUCUGCGUGGGAUUGGAAGCUUGCUUGAGUAGGUUUUUCUGGUUUCUUGAUGAAUGGCAAUUCUAAUGAAAAGAGGUUCAGGAUGAGAAUGAGAGGAAGCCCACAGGCAUGUAGAAUAUGGCCACAGGUGGGACAAGAGUGCUUCCUUGGGAUGGGGGGCUUGGUUCCCUGAAGGAAAGGAGACAGGGCACUACUCCAGCGCCAGGAAUCUCAUAGGACAGGCCGAGGGGGCUGGGCAGACACCAUGCUGGCCGCUGAUCAGGCAUGACUCCUCUGCCAGCCUGCCCUCGCAGGCCAGCCCAGAACUUGCACAACAGUCGGCCUGGCUGGCACUCUCCCGGGAGCUUCAGGAAGUCCCCCUUGUCCUCCCCUUGACCUUUGACCCCUUGGGCCUGCUGCCGACCAGACCAGAGUAUGAGGCAGAUGUUCUCUCUUUUACCUUCUGUUCCUGGUCUUUCCCUCUGAGGCUGGAACUCAGAGAUACCUCAACCCCCCACCUUCCAGCUCAUCCUUCCCCAAGCUCUCAGCACGGACCAGCUGGAGCCUCCACUGGGCUGCUCUCCACGUGAGCCAAUGUGGAUCCUUGGCCACAGCCAGCAGGACACAUGCAAGUACCCCGAUUCCAGACAUCCUCACAGGUGUCCUGCCCGACUACCUCCCUGUCCCAGGCCCCAGCAGGUGAAGCAGGAACAGCAGACAGAGCCUCCUUCCCUCCCCGGCAUCCUCUGAACAGCCGAAGUUGGAAGAACCCUAGAUAUUGUUCCACAUUAAACUAUGCACGCCUCGUGGCACUCAGUUUCACAAUCAAA